rnacentral:rRNA from 1 species
GACGAACGCUGGCGGCGUGCUUAACACAUGCAAGUCGAACGGAAAGGCCCUGCUUUUGUGGGGUGCUCGAGUGGCGAACGGGUGAGUAACACGUGAGUAACCUGCCCUUGACUUUGGGAUAACUUCAGGAAACUGGGGCUAAUACCGGAUAUGCGCUCCUGCUGCAUGGUGGGGGUUGGAAAGUUUCGGCGGUUGGGGAUGGACUCGCGGCUUAUCAGCUUGUUGGUGGGGUAGUGGCUUACCAAGGCUUUGACGGGUAGCCGGCCUGGGAGGGUGACCGGCCACAUUGGGACUGAGAUACGGCCCAGACUCCUACGGGAGGCAGCAGUGGGGAAUAUUGCACAAUGGGCGGAAGCCUGAUGCAGCAACGCCGCGUGCGGGAUGACGGCCUUCGGGUUGUAAACCGCUUUCGCCUGUGACGAAGCGUGAGUGACGGUAAUGGGUAAAGAAGCACCGGCUAACUACGUG